rnacentral:rRNA from 1 species
UACAGAGGUGGCAAGCGUUGUUCGGAAUUACUGGGCGUAAAGGGCGCGUAGGCGGCCUUCUAAGUCAGACGUGAAAUCCCCCGGCUUAACCUGGGAACUGCGUCUGAUACUGGGAGGCUUGAGUAUGGGAGAGGGAUGUAGAAUUCCAGGUGUAGCGGUGAAAUGCGUAGAUAUCAGGAGGAACACCAAUGGCGAAGGCAGCACUCUGGGACGUGACUGACGCUGAGGAGCGAAAGCAUGGGGAGCGAACAGG